rnacentral:lncRNA from 1 species
AAAGCUAUAAACCCUAGAUCUAACAUAUAAUAAACUGAAUUAGGGUUUAGAGAAUUACCUUUGAUUGUUAUAUAGCAAUAACAAUCAAUUCCUUACUUUGAUUGGCUUCAGAAAGCUUAGUGCCUCAAGUGUUGCACCUCUAAUGGAGUCACAAACACCACUAAGCAACUAGAUGAAGAAGGAGAAGAGAGGAGGCACCCAAAAACGUCUAGAAACCCUAAGGAUUCAGUUACACACGUUUUUGGGGCCUAAAGGGUCCUUUAUAUACUUGUGUGAGCUGCUAGGGUUUCAGUCAAAACCCUAAUGGACAGCUUAAACUCUAAGCAACCCAUGGAACCUUCUGGAUAAGGCCAUGGACGAAAAUAUGAUGGGCUCCCAUCAUAAUUUCGUUCACCCCUUGUUCCUUUAGCAUUCCUUAGCCCACUAACUCAAUUUUCCAAUAACUGCAGUCCGGUCCCAUAUAUUUAAUUAAUCUCUUUUAGCCACAAAAUUAAUUAUCAAUUAAUUCUUGACUAAUAUGAAUUAAACAAUAUGAUUUCUCUUUUAAUAUAUUAUUCUCAUAAUAUAUUAAUAAAUCAUAUUUAAACCUUUCUCUCCUUAAUUCAUCCUACAUAUUGCUAUGGUGAAGGCAACCCAAAAGGACCAUGCUCAUAAUCGGGUCAAGUACAUACCAAAAUAGUUAUGGACUUAGACACUAAUCCAACAGUCUCCCACUUGGAUAAGUCUAAUAACUAUUUUCCGUAUGACUUCAGAACCUGAUCAGCAAUCGUAGCUUUCAAAAGCCGCUGUCAACUCUGAUCUUAUCAGAUAGCGUGUCCUCUAGAUAAGGGAUCAUAUAUUCCUCCAUUCUCAAGAUAUCGUAUAGACAUGAAAAUCAUUCUCUCUAUACUGUUUCCCGACUUCCGAUUUAUGACGACUGACAACAGACUACAAUUGAACACAUCAACUUAGUCCCGACUUGGCCAAGCGCUUAGGUGUCAUCACUAAAUAUUUGAGGGGCCCGCAGAUAUCGCUUUUAUCCUACUUUGGGUAAAAAUAAUGGAUAAACUUUGACUCAUAUGCUUGCUUGGAUUCACUGAUCGAAUCAUACACAACAAUAAGUUUUAUAACACCAAGUUACUGGUGCGUUUACUUAUUAUCAAUGUGCAACCGACCAACAAAUAACAACUCACACGUCUCGAUUUCAAGAAUAUACAAUAUUAUCAUCUCACUAAUCACCCGCGAUAAAUCCAUGAAGUGAUCCAAGUGAGCUUGGGUUUAAUCCAAUACUCUAAUCUAAUCAAAGCACUCAUGAAUCCUGCAACAAACUUGUGCUAUGUUUAAACACUUUAGACAAUCUACAGACAGAUUCAUGACAGUCUUCUUUCAUACCUACUUCCAANCCCAACGUAUGACCGACUGUGGAUGUUUGAAUAACCUAGUUAUUCUGGAAGUCAAAACAUGCAAAUUGAAACAUAACAAUAAUACUUAAUCCUAUAUGGCCUCAAACUUGUGAGAGUAAAUAAAACACUUCUAUUUAACCACCAUAUUGAUUACUCAUUAUUAUCGUUUACUGUUUCAGAAAAUCAACUUAUUACUCAAAUUACAACAAUAGUUGUCCCAUGCAUAAAGCAUGCACACUAUGUUUCCUAUGGUCCUUACUUUGUGAAAUAGAUCAAUUGAAAAACCUUUUCAAUGAUGCUCAUUUCACAAUUCCCAAUCCUUAUCAUUAGUGUAGGAACACAAGGUUCUUGCCACUACUAGAAUAUGCUAGAUUCUAACAUUUUAUGUAACGAUCCUUUCGCAAAGUCAUAGCACAAAAGUCACCAAGACUUGGCCAAUGAAAUUACAAAGUACUCUAUCAUAAAUUGUUACAAGACAAAUCCAUAGACGUGAAGUCUCACAUUCAAAGUACAUUCCUUUGAACAUCCUUCUUGCAUAAAAGUUUCUAAUCUAGACAUAGAUUCUCAAUAUCCAACUCCCGAUAUGGAAACAUUUCCACAUUUUCCAUAUGACAACUCAUUCUUAAUAGAAUCUUAUCUAUUCAUAAUCAUGUCGAUAUGGUCCAUCCAAUACCAUACUUCUAACUACUCACAAGCGACCAAUCCUCAGCGAACUUUGGAUCGUCCUUUGAUAGUUGUUUAAUUAUUUUAGUCAAAAACCGAUUCUAGUCCGUUUUCCCUCUUAAUGCGCUAGACAUUUGGAAAAUUUUAGAAUGGUCAAAUAUUAUAGCAUUUGAAAUCGAUACUAUAUCUGAAGCAUAUGGGACACAAUGCAUAAUGUCUUACAUAAAGAUAUGUUACUUUAUCAAUCUUCUGCCAUAAUAUUUUAUGUGUCAUGUUCUCACAAUUCGAACUAUGAAAAGGGAUGCCGUAAUCAUAAUCGAAAUUUGAGAACACACAAUGUAUCAUUUGAUUAUAUUUAUUAAAAUUUUACAAUCUAAGCUUUAGAUUUUGAAACGAAGUAUAAUAUUCUCUCCCUUAAUUAUAGUAAAACAACUUUUCAACCCAUGCUACUUUGCAAAUUGAAUCUUUGUUUUUCUAUAUUUAAUAUUGCUAACUUGCAAUACUUGCCAUAAUAAUCAUACAAGCAUAACACGUAUGCUCCCACUAUCAUGAUGAUUAUUACCAUAUAAGCAUAACACUUAUGCUCCCACUAGCUUUGACAUGUAUUUAGAAAACAGCUGAAUUUCCAGAAAACAAUGCCUAUUGAAUUUCUGAAGUUCAUAUUUCUAAUACCAUAUGCUUNCUUUGCCUUAGAUAGCUCAUAUGUGUGUUUAAACAAUUCAUAACUUAUGUUACUAAGUUCCAAAUGUUGAAACUAAUUGCCAAAUCUCACAAUUCGAACUAUGGAAAGGGAUGCCGUAACCAUAAUCGAAUUUGAGAAUACAAUUUUCACAAUUGCUAUCUUCUUAAAAUCUCUCUUAGUGAAAGCAUUUCCUCACAGUCAUUUUCAUGAAGGAGGGAAUCUUAUGACACUUAGAUUUUAUGGUGUACGAGUUCUUAUCCAUGUGAAUUUGCCAAAACCAAAGUUUGCGACAAAUCCAAACUCAUAUGGACUGAACUUUCUUAAUCUUGAUUUCUUGCCUUAUGGUAACAUGAGUGCCCACCAUGUCUUCCAAGUAGUUUUGCAACUUAUCCUUGCAUAUCAAUGUACUUUCCAUUGAUCAAGGCGGUUUGUCUUUAUGUAUUCAAAUGAGAACUCACAGAACUCACAUACAUAAUUAACUCAAUUGGAAUGACACAGAAACAAAAUAAUGUCAACACGAUAGGUUGUAAACCUCAAGUCGUGUGCUAGUGAUGAUCGAUAAGGUUUAUUCUUGAUUUGUUCUUGAAACCUUCUUCAAGAUCAUUAAAACUCCUACUGAUCUCUUGACAUAUAUGAUUCUCUUGUCAGGAAACUUUUCUAGACAAAACAAAUAUUCAAGAGUUAGUGUAGUUCUUAUAAGGACAAAACACUUCACAUAAUUGGUCAUAGUUGGUCUUUAUCUUAUCCAAGACAGCACAACUUACCAAUUUCAAAUGUGCAAGCAUAAGAAAACUUUUCCAAAUUCCACAUUUAUUGAGNAUGCGAAACUCCACUUGCCGAAUAGGUGGCAUUGAGAAAACGGUAUUAAGACUCACUUGUCGCUCAAUUCGAAAUCUUGGAGUAAGACUCUAAGAUUCGAUAUUGGAACGAAGUAUGAUUGACUUCUUGAUUUAACCAAUUCCCGAUUCCUCUUCUUAGACAUAAAAAUAUACUAAGACUCACUUAGAGAAUCAAUUGAGAUACGGUUCUUAAUCAUUAAGACUUAUCAUAAAACACAAUAAAAGGUACUCUACCUUCUUAGAAUAGAGAAACUUUUAUCUUUCUGCCUACUUGAUUCUUCUUAUUCGUUCUGUUAUUCAUUGAAACAUUUUUCAAUCAACUCAGAAUUACACUUAAUCUUAUAAGUACAUUCAUAUUUACUAAACUUUAAUAAAUCAUGACGAAUAUCUUUAUCACUCUUGUGGUGGACUUGAUCAACACACAACCUAGUGUACUCGAUCUCCUAGUCCUUCACUUGACACUUUGUCAAAGAAUUAGUCUAAUUUCCAAAUAUGAAGUCUCUCAUUCAUCACGCAACCAAGUUGUAUGAUUCCAAGUUUCUGUCCAAUUGAAACUUGGGCGAUGAGAAACUCUCCCUAUUUGGUAAAUUCUCGACAUUUCCACAAGUAACAUAAUUAAGAAUCAAAUCCUUUAUUGCUAAUAAUAGAAACCUUUAAACAUCAAUUUUUUUUCAUACAUGCCAUUGCAAGGAUAAAUAUAUAAAAUAAAAUCAAAUUUCAUUUUAUUGUGGAAAAAAUUUGUCCUUACAAUGCAAUUCAAUUGAAAAACUAUGUCAUUACACAUUUCUUAGCAAUCUAUUCUAACUCCAAGUAGUAGCUCAAGAAUCCAAUCUUCAAGCAAUGCGAUCGAAAUCCAUUUCUUCAUGAUUAGAUUCAACUCACUUCUUCCCAUAAGCUUCCUCUCUUUUCUUCGAUCCUACAAAACAUCAAAAUGUAAUCUUAUCACAUCAUGUAUUAAGAAUCUAGAAUAGGAACUUAAAAGAGUUAGAUAAUGGAUUUUACCUGAAGUAGAGCUAUACAUCUUGACUCUCCCAUCUCUUAGAUCUCUCAGGUAGUUUGCGCAGCUUCGUCUCCAAUGCCCCUUCUCUUGGCAAUAAAAACAAAUGGACUCCUUUGGUACAACACAUUGGACAAUAACAAACUUUGUUCUUUCUGGACUUCCAUUGUUGCCUGUGUCCAUUGAAGUUUGGGAGUUUGAUUCACCAGACAAAUUUGCUUGACAACACGCCAANUAGCAGCUAUAAGCAAAUAGGUGAGAUCAAUGAGGGUCACGUCGUGAUCCAUCAUAUAGUACUCUCUAACGAACUCACUAUAUGAUUCAGGAAGUGACUGAAGAACCCAGUCAACGGUCAAUAUUUCUAAGAUAUCGACACCCAACAUCCUUAACCUAUCAAUGUGCGACUUCAUCUCUAAGACAUGUGCACACACAGACGUUCCAUCUUCAUGCUUAAUUGCCAAUAAGGCUUGAGUGAGCUUGAACUUUUCAAUCCUUUGAACUUGUGGGGUAGGAAGAACAAUUGGAGGAGGUGGAGGAAGUGAAGCAUGAUCUCUUGUUCCUCGAUCAUGUCGUGGAACAUCAUCUUCAUUUGGAAAGCUUGUUCCAUGGGAUUUGGGAAUACCAUGACUAUCAAAACUAGACAUCUACAAAACGGGAGAAAAUUCAAGUUAAGUUGAUUAGAAUUCUUGAUGUAACACCCAAAUGAAACAUCAAGCUAGGAUCCAACAGAAUACUCUACAACCUAAAAGAGGGAUGUCAUAAUCUAGUCGUAGAAUAUUUGAAGGUAGGUAAAUGACGAUUUACCAAUUUCCACCAUGAAAAAGGAAAAGGAAGUUUAAGUUUUAAAUGAAUUGAAACUCCUAGAUCUUUUGAGAUUCAUUGAACUUUUCAAUGGCAUGUUUAAUCUCGAUUAUGCCCUACUAUUUGUGACUGGGAUGCCGAGGAUCACAAACAAGGUGUGAAUAACCAUACUAAUCACGUGGUGCACCCAAUGCUACUAUCACCAAAUGAAUGUUCCGGUUAGCCACACACGCUCCAUUGAUCUAUGAUAAGCAACGAGCCACCCUUCGCCACCAAUGUCAUCCCCAAGUUAGUGUGUCGGUUAACCACACACACUCCACUAACGUUUGACAAGGCUACGAAGUGUAAUCCCAUGGAUUAGCAUACAAUUUCACAUUUUGCCUAAUGUAACUAUGAUUUGGGAAUUUGUAUAAGCAUUUAGUUACUUUGUACUUCAUUAUACUUAUAAUGGAAGGUUUCUGUCCUAUCCUACCCGUUCGGCUAACGACCCUCCACUAGUCAAGAGUGCGGUGGGUAAGAGUGGAUACCCAUUCAAUCGCCAUUUUAUAGGCAAUUUCCUUAAACACCCCUUAUAGACCAGCUUCGUGAAUGAGGCCUACUAACGGUAAGACUGACUGUUUACUCAUACAUAUAUAUAAUAUUAGACUUUUAAUGUUAUAUAUAGUAUAGGGUNGUCAAGAGUGGGAUGGGUAAGAGUGGAUACCCAAUGGCGGUCAUUUUAUAGGCUGCUUCCUUAAACAUCCCUUAUAGACUAGCUUCGUGAAUGAGGCCUACUAACGGUAAGAUUGACUCUUUACUCAUACAUACAUAUAUAUGUGUAUAUAUAUAUAUAUAUAUAUAUAUAUAUAUAUAUAUAUAUAUAUAUAUAUUAGACUUUUAAUGUUACAUAUAUAUAGGGUGUAUUUUACACUUUUAAAAUACUAAGUGGUCUAAUUUAGCAAAUUAUACUUUUAAUUUAUUUAAAUGUAAACCAAAACUUUAUGGGUUUCUUAAAUAUCUUUUAAUUAUACACUUUAAUUAAUUAAUAAAACCAUAAGGGUGUAAUUUGAACCUUUUCAAAAUACUAGGGUGUUAGAAUUUAACAUUUCAAAAUUAAACUUUUAAUCAAUUUUUAAAUUCCAAAACUUGAGGGCAAGUCUUGAAACAUUUCAAAACAUCGGGGUUUAGAAUUUAAAUAUUUCAAAAUUAAACUUUUAAUCAACAAUUUAAAUUCCAAAAGUUGAGGGCAAGUUUUUGAAACUUUUCAAACUAUCGAGAUUAAAUUACAAAUAAUUAAAUUAAUCAAAUAAUUUGAAUUAUCUAAAUUUGAGCUAAUUUAAUUUCUUACAAGAUAAUUCAAAACAAAUAAUUUAAAUAAUUAGGGUUUCUCAAAUAAGGCAAUAAUUGUCUAAUUAAAUGACAAUUAUCUCUAAUUUUGACAAGGAUAAUCAUAACAAAUUAAUAAAAUUCGGAUUUUAUCAAUCAAAAACAAUUUUGGUAAUUAUCCAAGCUCAAAAUAGGUCAAAAUCCUGAGUAUUCUGCCAUCUGCCCUGACACCACCUCGUGGUGAUCAGGCAGAAGCAAAAAAACGAAAUUUUUUUCUGCUUUGAAAACAUAACUUUUGCAUCAAAUACAUUAUAAAAUCAUCCUAGGCUCUGAUACCACUGAUGGGUUUUAAGCAAAACAUCAAUCCUAUGGUGUACAUGCAAACCCUAAUAGCUUUUGGAUCUAGUUUGUCUAAUGAACAUGCAAUUGAAUAUCCAAAACUAUAAACCCUAUAUCUAACAUAUAAUAAACUGAAUUAGGGUUUAGAGAAUUACCUUUGAUUGUUAUAUAGCAAUAACAAUCAAUUCCUUGCUUUGAUUGGCUUCAGAAAGCUUAGUGCCUCAAGUGCUGCACCUCUAAUGGAGUCACAAACACCACUAAGCAACUAGAUGAAGAAGGAGAAGAGAGGAGGCACCCAAAAACGUCUAGAAACCCUAAGGAUUCAGUUACACACGUUUUUGGGGCCUAAAGG